ensembl:lncRNA
UAAAGGGUAACACUGUAGAUAUUUAUCAAUUAAAACAUAGGGGAUAACACUGUCGCUUUUAUCAAAUGAAACAUGAGGGGUGACACUGUCGUUUUCCUUUGGUCGUCAUGAAAAAAACCAUAAGGGGUAACACUGUCGUUUUUAUCAAAUGAAACAUGAGGGGUGACACUGUCGUAUUCCUUUGGUAGUCAUGAAAAAAACGAUACGGGGUAACACUGUUGUUUUUUAUUGGUCGUCAUGAAAAAAAACAUAAGGGGUAACACUGUUGUUUUUUAUUGGUCGUCGUGAAAAACAACAUAAGGGGUAACACUGUUGUUUUUUAUUGGUCGUCAUGAAAAAAAAACAUAAGGGGUAACACUGUUGUUUUUUAUUGGUCGUCGUGAAAAAAACAUAAGGGGUAACACUGUUGUUUUUUAUUGGUCGUCAUGAAAAAAAACAAGGGGUAACACUGUUGUUUUUUUAUUGGUCGUCAUGAAAAAACAUAUAAGGGGUAACACUGUUGUUUUUAUUGGUCGUCAUGAAAAAAAACAUAAGGGGUAACACUGUCGUUUUUUAUUGGUCGUCAUGAAGAAAAACAUAAGGGGUAACACUGUCGAUAUUUAUUAAUUAAAACAUAGGGGGUAACACUUUCGUUUUUAUCAAAUGAAACAUGAGGGGUGACACUGUCGUUUUUCUUUGGUCGUCAUGAAAAAAUACAUUGGGGGUAACACAGUUGUCUUUGUCAAAUAAAAUAUAAGGGGUAACACUGUCGUAUUUUAUCGAAGUUAGAAAAUCCAGUAUCGUGACUGACAACACUACUAGAAACGCGAUUGUGAUUAUUCAGUUAGAGCUACAAGAAACUUGAAAGUUAAAGAAGACAUAUCUUUGCUACUACCUCUGACAUUUAGUUAUGUACAUUUGCAUAAAAUCAUGCAGGUCUACAUAUAACUUGGCGAUAGCUUUAAUAGGUUGCAACGGUGGACUGAUAUCACUUCAUGGCACGAUGUGACCUCUCGAUAAAUAAGGAAAAAAAGAGAAGUUUGUUCUUUUUUAAACACAACAUGUGUGGAAGCUAACAUUCAGCUUCAGUCUGAGCUAGGAUGAUUUUUCUAAGCCCCCCCCGAAACCAGGCCGGGUGCCUGGCAAAAAGAGGCCCGUUCAUGAUUCUGAUUAUAAUUUGGGCAAGUGAACAUUACAUUCGGGCAAGUUGAACCUGACCUGUACUUGCCCGAUGGGCAAGUGCUUUUAAAACCUUAGUGUCAACCCCAGAUUGUGUUUAUUUCCUUUAGUACAUAGUAUAAAGUGGAGUGGAAAGCACAAGAUUAAGAGUAAUAAAAUCUGGAACUUAAAUCGGUCGAUUCAAUCAUACUAUACUGCAGCAGUCAAAAAAUGAGAUCCAUCAUUUAAAUUCCACAUUUAUUAGAACAAAGAUUCUACUAAACCUUUUUAUUUUUCUUCAAAGUCUCCUUCAACCUAUGGUUUGUGGCGUUGCAUAGGUAUUCUACCUAAAGAGUUAUUCGGUCAUGGGUCAAGAAAGAACAAGGACAAUACAUUCAGGAUAUCGAGUGUGAACAGAAGUGAAAUUAACGUUUGAUCAAAUUAAGACAAAUGGAUGUGUGUGUGUGUGGCGUGUAUUCUAAUGCGGACACCUUCUCUCCGUCUCACAUCUCACAUCAGCAUUUCCUUCUUUUAAAAAAGUGCUUGCUAGUUUCAUAUAAAGCUAGUGUUCAUGAACAAUGGAACACAGUGGUUGUUGCCUGGCAGUUUGUUGGUACCUGUGAUUACAGGUUGACGACUUUAGAUUCGACAGCAGAGUGUACCGACGUUGUGUUGAAACAAAAAUGGUUGAGAAGUAUAUAGGUUUAGGUACAUGUCCCUACCUAAACAUCACCAAUUCGGGAAGGAAUCGAGCAAUGCUUGUCUCUAGGUCCCUGCAUUGCUUUGUCCACUAACACUGAAUAAACAACAAACUGACCUACAUUUUCCUUCUCACCGUCAUAAGAAUAUUCGAGAAAUUGUUAAAAAUACCACAAAGCAAAGGGUUACAUUUUUUGGCAAUGGCAGGAAUACAUGGUGAAAGAAAAAAGGCAUGUGGAUAAGCGUAUUCAGGACUCAAGUUGUAAAUAGAUUACUGGAAACAUCUCCUUACACACGUGGCUUCCCUCUUUAAUACUCUGGGGAGCUUAAUGCCUUCUUUCAUCUUCCUGCAGCCAAACAGUGGCUCCCUCGAGUGGGGUAGUGGGGGUCGUGUCCCUCCCUGUAUGCAUCCCCUCCUAUGCAUGUUCAAAAUAUCUCUGGGCUUCAUCCAACAGAGAUAUAUUUGCAUCGCCGAGCGUGAGCUGAGUGCACCCUCUGCCUAAUCACCUCUAUGCUACGCAGAGGAUACACACACACACACACACUCGAACACACACACACUCGAACACAGAGGACCCCCCCCCUCAGGGUAAACGUAAUAUUGUGUAUUGCACAGGAAGUGUGUCUGUGUGUGUGUGCAUGGUAUUAUUACAUAGCUAAUGCCUGUGAUUAGAGGGUGAACGUAGUUGGAAAACAAGGGUGCAUUAGGAAGGGGUGGGAACCGAGGCAUUUCCCUUGAUGAAAAUAAAUUACUAGGCUGAUGAAAGCUCACCGUGGCACAAUAACAGACAUGGAGACAACACACUGCCGUCCACGUCGUGUGCAAAAUCAAUGAGACCCUAGUACCAACAUCGUGGUGUGACCGGGUACAUUCAUGUUCUAGCGGUUAAAAAUAAAAUAAAAUAAAAACAUCCACAAACGGUGAGGUGUCCGGUUUUGCCGCCGGCCUCGAUGACAAAGCGGCGGCCAUUUUGUUGUUGACGCGCGGAGGCGUGCGCUCGGAGGAACCACGUUGAGCCUGGCGACGACAACGCUUUGUGUGUGAGACGCACAUCUGCCGUCCCCCGGGCAGAUCUGUGAUGGCGGCCUUGCCAAGCGGUUAGAUUUGGAUUUGUUUUAAAGCUGCAUGACAACGAAAGGCUUUGGAAUGUGAAAAAAUAGACACUGAGUGCGCACACACACACACACACACACGCACGCACGUGAGGAGAGCAGCACAAACACCGGUGGCGAAUGUCUUUGAGUGCGCAAGAAAAAAAAACUAAAUAUAUAUAGAAAUACUCUCACGCGAUACUAUCAUAUAAAAAUGUAUACUAUAUUUGUCUGAUAAAGAACCCUGCAACGAGAAUCACCGAUACAGUGAUGACCCCCCCCUUCCCCCAACCCCGCCCAAACCAUUUGGCACCUGGUUCCCUUCCACGUUCCUCCUCAGUGUCUUUGCCAUCAGAGUGGAGGAGGAGGAGGGUGGGGCGAAGGGUUUUUAUUGAUAGUCCAGGGGGUAGUGGAGGUGCUGCGGUCAGGGAGACUUCCGCAGUGUGUUGUUGAAGGUCCAGCCUUCUCCCUGCACAUCGAGGGAAGAGGAGAGAGUUGGUGAACUGAGAAAAUAUAUUUUCAGUAUUUUGUUUCGUUUUAGCAGGUCACAAUUUUUUUGGACGUCUUCUCAACUUGGAUCGCUGCAGAGUUUGACAGAACGCUACGAUUGCCUCGGCUCAUUAUUUUAUCCUCGUACUCCAAUCUGCGCGGAGUUCACGGACGGUGGGGCACACAAAUUGAAACUCGGGAGCUGCUUUCGUGAUAAUAUCUUGUCGACGGAAAAGUGAUAGUGAAACGUUUUGAGGAACAAACCGAGGAGAGCAGACAACUUGUUGGAGGGGAAUUUGGAAAAUGUCACUAUUUGGAAUGUCUCAAAGUCAUGUCGGAAACAUCAC